rnacentral:rRNA from 1 species
GCAAGUCGAGCGGUAACAGAAAUUAGCUUGCUAAUUUGCUGACGAGCGGCGGACGGGUGAGUAAUGCUUGGGAAUAUGCCUUUGAGUGGGGGACAACAGUUGGAAACGACUGCUAAUACCGCAUAAUGUCUACGGACCAAAGGGGGGGAUCUUCGGACCUCUCGCGUCAAGAUAUGCCUAGGUGGGAUUAGCUAGUUGGUGAGGUAAUGGCUCACCAAGGCGACGAUCCCUAGCUGGUCUGAGAGGAUGAUC